AAUGCUACAAGUUUCAUGUAACAUGAUUUCAAAAGUAUGUUUUUGUCAAGACGUUGUAAAAAAUUUUCGAACUGGUUCAGUUGGUCCAUGUUUUUGCAAACAAGUUGCUUCUCGCUUCUUUAUCAUGCUUGCAGUUUAAUAUUGUAAUUAUUCCAUCUUACUUGUAGCUUAUUUAAAAUUUGUUCUGAUCUUUUGUUUGCAUAUGUCCCUGUGUAAGUGCAUCCAUGUGCAACUAGUAACUUUAUAUUGGUCUCUGUACCUCAUAUAUUGUACCUACAAGUGUGGAACUUCGAUUGUUUGUCAUACUUCUAUUAAUUGGUGUGUUCUACCAUAGUUGAAGCUUAUGAUUCCUAUAUAAUCUGAUCUGUUUUCAAUCAUGGCCAGGUAUAAAAGGUAAUAUAAUUUUGCCAAAAUGGUAUGACUUUGCUUCAAGCUUAGUAUGUAUAAGCUUGUUUCUUCUCAACUUGUAAUACAAACAGUAUGCGGUUCGACAAUGAUGAAUAAAGCUUGCAUUAGUCUUGAAUGGUUUGGGGGGCAAUAGGUGAUCUAUUGCAGCCACCAUUCAGACUUGGGGCCUUUAAUACCUGAGCCAACACAUGAUUGUUCAGCAGCAGCAUGUAAUUAAUCUCCAACUCUCUUCUAACCUCCACUUAUUAGGUUCAAUUACUAUUACUAGAGGUAAGUGACGGCUAAAAGUUUCAUGUAACAUGAUUUCAAAAGUAUGUUUUUGUCAACACGUUGUAAAAUAUUUUCCAACUGAAUCAUUUGGUCUAGGAUUAUGCAAACAAGUUGCUUCUCGCUUCUUUAUCAUGCUUACAGUUUAAUAUUGUAAUUAUUCCAUCUCGCUUGUGGCAUGCAUGCUUUGGUAUUUGUUCAGAUCUAUACAGAAAUAUAGUUUUAUAGCAAUGGGAGAUCAUUUGUUUCAAGCAUUUUUAAUCCCCGCUUGCUUCUUCUCAACUUGAAAUACAAACGAAGCGCGCUCCGGCAAUGAUGAAUAAAGCUUGCAACAGUCUUGAAUGGUUUUGGGGGGCAAUAUGAGACCUAUUGCAGCCACCAUUCAGACUUGGGCCCUUUAUUACCUGAGCCAACACAUGAAUCCUCUUCUAACCUCCAGGUAUUGGGUUCAUAUUAAUAUUACUCGAGGUAAGUGACUGCUGCAAAUUGCAAGUAACAUGACAAUUGGGAAUUUCAAGUCUCUAUAACUUAGUUACUGCUCCUGCAACCAUGGUACUUCAAUUGAUUGAUUCCUAUUGUUAAUUGUUGUUGCUGCAACUAUGUAUGACUUUGCUUAUUCUCAACUUGAAAUCUGCGUGUUACUCGCUCCGGCAAUGAUGAAGUAAAGAGCACUGGUCGUGAAUGGUUGGGGGGCAGUGGGAAACCUCUUGCAGCCAUCAUUCUCACUUGAGCUCUUUAUUACCUGAGCCAUCACAGGGUAGGGGGGCAGUACAUGCGGUAUAUUUGCCACUAUGCCAGUGUGACUUUAAGUCAUCCUAACCCAACAUAUGUUAAACACAGUACAGUUUACUUAUAUUGUCCUCUUUAUUACUUAAGCUCAAGUUAUUGCAUAGAUACAUAUUGCAUCAGAGUUUUUUCUUCAAAUGCA
rnacentral:lncRNA from 1 species